CUAUGGGCCAAUUUCAAGCCAGAGUUUAAUGGCCAAUCCUAUCUUACCCUAGAACGAAAUCACUCAAUCUCCAGCUUGCUGUUGCGUUUACAGAGGAAAAAGGAGAAAAAAUUGCAGCUUCCCGCCUCCAAAACGCAAGAAAAAAAAAAAAACCCUUUGGUGAGAAAUCCAGAUAACAUCAUCAUCAAAGCAUUUUUUUUUUUUUAAAUGGUGAAAUCCAAGAAAACAGAAGCCAGCAAUUCUGACAGAGAAAACCCAGACGUGUUAGAGAGAAAAAGACUGAAAAAGCUUGCAAUAACCAACAACAUGGUAUCAGACAUACACACAAGUCAGGGCUCCAUAUUCAUUGUACCCAUCAAAUUUUUUUGUUAAACAACAUGGUAAGGAUAUUAUUAGGAAAUCUCAAAGAAAAAACAGGUACUUGCCUUCAUUUCCUGGUCUUCUCGCUCCUGUCAACGGUUGUGGCAAGAUUGGCGAGCUCAAAGACUUGUCCUCUAAAAACCCUGUUCUUUGCCUCGAUUUUCAUCAGGGACGGAUGAAGUUGCUUGGGAUCAUUAUGUAUCCAAGAAACAGAUGUUUGACAUUGCAAUUCUCUAGGAGUGGAAAGAAUGUUGUGUAUUGUAUUUUCUGAGGCAUGGUGGAUUGGAACGAAAGAAGAGAACCCGGAGGAAUUGAAACUCGAUUUUCCUAAGGAACUGUUUGAGGUUCUGUUUGUUCAUGUAUCUGUAAUUUUUUUUUUGUUAUAUAUAUAUAUACACAUAUAAUGAAGGAAAAGGGGUCGGAACAGAGCAUAUCUUUGGUAAUUUUUUCUUGUAAUUGAUUUUUGUUUCGGGGACAAGGAAUUGAAUGUGAUUUUAAAGG